UAUGGCACAGGAAAAGGGCUUCAUGGGGCAUCUGUUGAUGCAGAUUAUCAUGGAGGUCAUUUGAGGAUUGAUGAGCGUAGGGACGAUAAAGCUGGUUAUCUUCGGGAGUUUGAGCUAAGAGAGGAGGACCGUCGUCGAGAACUUUUGCGUGAGAGGGAGAAAGAAAGAGAAAGGGAAAAGGAACGGGAGCGGGAACGGGAACGGGAACGAACGGGAACGAGAACGAGAACGAGAAAGAAAGCGUGAAAGGGAACGCAUUUUGGAGCGGCGUGAGAAGGAGAGGGAGCGAGAGCGGAAACGUGGACUUGAAACUAGGCGUGAACGAACUCCACCAAGAGUUUCAAGAGAUAGACGUGGGCCCUCUUUGACGAAGGAGGGGAGAUCCUUGCGACGAGAUUCCCCAAGUCAUGACGCUUCACAUAGGCGUCAUUCACCUGUUAAAGAAAAAAGAAGAGAAUAUGUCUGCAAGAUUCAUGCUUCCAGUUUGGUUGAUGUAGAGAGGGAUUACAUGUCAAUAGAUAAGAGAUAUCCCAGACUAUUUAUAUCUCCUGAAU
rnacentral:misc_RNA from 1 species